GUCUGGCUAGCUCAUUCAGUAAAGUAUGAGACUCUUAAUCUUGGGGUCGUGAGUUCAAGCCUCACGUUGGACA
rnacentral:tRNA from 1 species